CUCGCGCUAUAAAAGCCCCUCGCACGCCAUGCUCGGUCUCAUUGCUCGGCCUGCGGAGGAGAGGUGUUCAUGUCUGACUUCUGGUCGACCAUGUCCCCUGAUUUGGUGGCUUACAUGUGUGCUGUCCAUGAUAUGAGGGUCCUGGAAGAUCAUGUCCCCUGAUCUGAUAUUUGGAGGUGCUCCAUCACAUCAGCUUGGUACUGGAAGAUGAAGUAGGACAUGAAGAUGCCUCUCCAUUGGUGUCUAGCCAUGCAGUAUAAGGAGUUGUAAAAGUCAAAGCUGCAAGAGCCCUUCCCACAGAGGCUGGAAUGGGGAAGUUGAGAUAUUUGGAGGCGCUCCAUCACAUCAGGCUAAAUGUGUCCAUUGAAGGUAUGAAUGGAAGGAUUCCACAACUUGGCGGUCACUUCAAAGAGGGCUUUUCUGGCUGCAAACCAGCUGUCCUUACGCUGUGACCAAUAACAAAAUCCUCUACAGGAUACUGUGGGCACUACAUGUGUGUACUGUGGUCUAUUAUAGAGGAGAUAGCCAGCAGCCUUAACAAGGCAUAUUGGAUAUAUAGGACAAUGCAUUGUAUGAACGAUAAGUAGGGUUAUGCUCUGGCUUAUUAUUGACCUCUCUUCGGAUGAAUGGGGCCUGACUCCUGGCAUCCCUGCCCAACAGCUGAAUGCUUCUGCCUCUUCAAAAUUACCUGUGUGCCAUCUCCUUUGUGGCAGGAGCGUGAAGGCAGUUUUGGAGAGGAAGUAAUAAUUAAGUCCUGUUACCCCUUCAAAUGGCUGACUGGCAGGGGUGACAAGUAAUACCCUUAAAGGGGUUGUCUCACUUCAGCAAAUGGCAUUUAAGUAGAUUAAGUGAAUACAAGCCACUUACUAAUGUCCAUAUUGCCUCCUUUGCUGGCUGGAUUAAUUUUUCCACCACAUUAUAUACUGCUCAUUUCCAUGUUUACAACCACCCUGCAAUCCAGCAGUGGUGGUCGUGCUUGAACACUAGGGAACAGAGCCAACCUCUGGCCAGGAGCAUGCAUAGCUGGUGCUUUUUCCUAUAGUGUGCAAGCACAGCCACCGCUGAUGGAUUGCAGGGUGGUCGCAUACAUAGAUACAAACAUUGUAUAAUGUGAUGGAAAAAUGAAUAGAAUCCAGGAAAUAUGGGCAAUUGCACCCCUCGGGUGAAUGCUGUAAAAACUGCCAAAAUUAA